rnacentral:rRNA from 1 species
UUACGGCUCAGUAACACGUGGAUAACCUACCCUUAGGUUUGGGAUAACCCCGGGAAACUGGGGAUAAUAUCAGAUAGAUCAUAGACGCUGGAAUGCCCUAUGGUCCAAAGCUCAGGCGCCUAAGGAUGGGUCUGCGGCCUAUCAGGUUGUAGUGGGUGUAACGUACCUACUAGCCGACGACGGGUACGGGUUGUGAGAGCAAGAGCCCGGAGAUGGAUUCUGAGACACGAAUCCAGGCCCUACGGGGCGCAGCAGGCGCGAAAACUUUACAAUGCACGAAAGUGCGAUGAGGGGACCCCGAGUGUUGGUGCCUAGCAUCAACUGUCCAACUGUCUAAAAAACAGUUAUUAGCAAGAGCCGGGUAAGACCGGUGCCAGCCGCCGCGGUAACACCGGCGGCUCGAGUGGUGAUCACUAUUAUUGGGUCUAAAGGGUUCGUAGCCGGCUUAAUAAGUUCUUUGGGAAAUCUGGCGGCUUAACCGUCAGGCUGCCGAGGGAUACUGUUAGGCUUGAGACCGGGAGGGGCUAGAGGUACUUCAGGGGUAGGGGUGAAAUCCUGUGAUCCCUGUGAGACCACCAGUGGCGAAGGCGUCUAGCUAGAACGGGUCUGACGGUGAUGAACGAAAGCUAGGGGCACGAACCGGAUUAGAUACCCGGGUAGUCCUAGCCGUAAACGAUGCAAGCUAGGUGUCACAGUAGCUGCGAGCUACUGUGGUGCCGUAGGGUAGCCAUGAAGCUUGCCACCUGGGAAGUAUGGCCGCAAGGCUGAAACUUAAAGGAAUUGGCGGGGGAGCACAA